AAAUGCAAGUGAAAGUGACGUGAAAGUUGUUAAGUAUUGUAACCCAUACUCAGAAAUUGUGCUCUGCAUUUAACCCAUCCAAGUGCACACACACAGCAGUGAGUAGUGAUCACACACACCCAGAGC